rnacentral:rRNA from 1 species
AUUGAACGCUGGCGGCAUGCCUCACACAUGCAAGUCGAACGGCAGCGGACCUUCGGGUGCCGGCGAGUGGCGAACGGGUGAGUAAUAUAUCGGAACGUACCUUUCAGUGGGGGAUAACGUAGCGAAAGUUACGCUAAUACCGCAUAUUCUGUGAGCAGGAAAGCAGGGGAUCGCAAGACCUUGCGCUGAUUGAGCGGCCGAUAUCAGAUUAGCUAGUUGGUGAGGUAAAGGCUCACCAAGGCGACGAUCUGUAGCGGGUCUGAGAGGAUGAUCCGCCACACUGGAACUGAGACACGGUCCAGACUCCUACGGGAGGCAGCAGUGGGGAAUUUUGGACAAUGGGCGCAAGCCUGAUCCAGCCAUGCCGCGUGAGUGAAGAAGGCCUUCGG